UACGGAGGGUGCGAGCGUUGUCCGGAAUCACUGGGCGUAAAGGGCGCGUAGGCGGCCUGAUAAGUAGGGGGUGAAAUCCUGCGGCUUAACCGCAGGGCUGCCUUCUAAACUGUCAGGCUAGAGCACAGUAGAGGCAGGUGGAAUUCCCGGUGUAGCGGUGGAAUGCGUAGAGAUCGGGAAGAACAUCAGUGGCGAAGGCGGCCUGCUGGGCUGUUGCUGACGCUGAGGCGCGACAGCGGUGGGGGAGCAAACAGG
rnacentral:rRNA from 1 species